rnacentral:sRNA from 1 species
ACAGUUGCUGUGCUCUUUCUCCAUGUGCAGCGCAGAUUCUUCCUCUGUGCCAUGUGGUUGCUACGAGCGCAGGGGGAGGGCUGGGGUCAGCAAUUCAAGACUGUCUUUUCUAUCCUCUUCGCUGCCUCUUUCAGCGAUACGAAGAUCCUGUUUGACCAAACUCAGAGAUCAAUUAAGGCACAGCUUCAGAACUUUGUUAAAGAAGAUCUUAGAAAAUUCAAAGAUGCCAAGAAGCAAUUUGAAAAAGUCAGUGAAGAAAAGGAAAAUGCAUUAGUAAAAAAUGCCCAAGUACAAAGAAACAAACAACAUGAAGUUGAAGAAGCCACCAACAUUCUGACAGCAACAAGAAAAUGUUUUCGACACAUAGCCCUCGAUUAUGUGCUUCAGAUUAAUGUUCUUCAAUCAAAAAGGAGAUCAGAAAUCCUAAAAUCAAUGUUGUCAUUUAUGUAUGCCCAUUUGGCCUUCUUUCAUCAA